rnacentral:lncRNA from 1 species
AGCUGAUCGAUGUUGCUGGCUUUGGAUUCUUUGUGAACAAAUGAGACAAGCUGCCAGAGGGAUGCUAACACCACCCACGUGCUGCAGCAGGACUUUGGAAGGGGAACCAGCACUGUAAUGAAGUGUUGGGUUGGCUCAAGGCUUGUCUGGACCACAAACCAUUUUUCAACUAUUGGUGUGUCUUUAAAACCCAAACCAACUGUGAGAGUGGUUUUCUACUUUGAUUCUAGAUGGGAAAAUAUUUUGCUUUUUUGGUGGAUGACAGUGUCAGGUCCCAAAUGGAUUCGGUUUCACUAUCCUCCAGCACGCAUGCAUAUAAUGUGAAACAUACCCACGCUCUGCAAGGGCCACAGCCACCCCACCAUUAGGUUCCAAGGCAAAUAUGCGUCCGCGGGUCCC